rnacentral:lncRNA from 1 species
AGACUGGGAAACACAAGCAAAAGAAUUACCAGCAACAGAAGUAUCAGGCUGAGCAACAGUGGCUACUUGUGGAGAUGUCUGCUUACUUGCGCGAUAUUGGAGGAACUCAUUAUACUCCCUUUCAGAUACAAAAAAUCCCCGGUUACCUGUAGGCUCGGUCUGAGCAACAUAAGCAUUUUUUGGUGGUCGACCGUGUAAAGAAUGACACACGUCACGAGUGUGACCAAGUUUAUAACAAUAAGAACAC